rnacentral:misc_RNA from 1 species
GAUGAAGAACGUAGCGAAAUGCGAUACUUGGUGUGAAUUGCAGAAUCCCGUGAACCAUCGAGUCUUUGAACGCAAGUUGCGCCUCAAGCCGUUAGGUUGAGGGCACGUCUGCCUGGGCGUCACAUAUCGUUGCCUGAUGCCAGUUUCCUCGUGAUGGGUGACUGUGCAGGGCGAAUGAUGGCUUCCCGUGAGCAUUGUUGCCUCAUGGUUGGUUGAAAAUUGAGUCCUUGGUAGGGAGCGCCGUGAUAGAUGGUGGUUGAGUGACGAACGAGACCCAAUCAUGUGAGACCCCUACCGAAUUUGGCCUUCAUGACCCACAUGCGUCUUUGGAACGCUCAUGACGAGACCUCAGGUCAGGCGGGGCUACCCGCUGAGUUUAAGCAUAUCAAUAAGCGGAGGA